rnacentral:rRNA from 1 species
UGAGCAAUCUGCCCUUCUCAUCGGAAUAAGCGUUGGAAACGACGUCUAAUGCCGAAUACGACCUCCUUUCGCAUGAUCGGAGGUGGAAAGCUCCGGCGGAGAAGGAUGAGCUCGCGGCCUAUCAGCUAGUUGGUGUGGGUAAUGGCCCACAAGGCGACGACGGGUAGCCGGCCUGAGAGGGUGACCCGGCCACACGUGGGACUGAGACACCGGCCCAGACCUCCGUACGGGAGGCAGCG